rnacentral:rRNA from 1 species
AUGAGCACAAAAUUCAUUCCGGACAGAAAGUGCUAUCAGAAAUUCGCAGUCGGCCAUAAGAACAAGGUACUCCCUCCAUACAAAUAUAUGUGGCAUAAAGCGUUUUUGGAGAUUGCCUUUUUUUUAUCAUUGAUAAAAAAACAGAGGCAAAAAGACUUGCCCCAUUCAUUAAUUAUAAGGAGAAGGUGUUACAGACUCCAAGGUUGCGACCAGAACCCUAGUCGUCGCCCCAUCUACUCCACCUCUCCCAUCGCCAGAGCGUGUCGUCGGGCAAAGCCCGCGCGGCGGCGGAGGAGGAGAGGUCCUAAUCGGGGGCGGCUGUCCGUGGAGGAGUUGGAGGGUUGUUGCGCGAUGGCGAAGAAGAUGUGUGCUCGGGUGAUGGUCUUUGUUGGGUUGUGCUCGACGGCGGUGUUGGUGAUGUAG